UACGGAGGGUGCAAGCGUUGCUCGGAAUUAUUGGGCGUAAAGCGCGCGUAGGCGGCCCGGUAAGUCCGUUGUGAAAGUCGAAGGCUCAACCUUCGAAAGCCGAUGGAUACUGCCGGGCUAGAGUACGGAAGAGGCGAGUGGAAUUCCUGGUGUAGCGGUGGAAUGCGCAGAUAUCAGGAGGAACACCAAUAGCGAAGGCAGCUCGCUGGGACGUUACUGACGCUGAGGUGCGAAAGCGUGGGGAGCAAACAGG
rnacentral:rRNA from 1 species